UUGGAUACGUAGAGAGUAACAACAGAUUAGCGGGAUAAGAAUAAGUUAGAUUUAAGAUUUUUCUAUGGAUUCAUGGGAAUGAUUUUACGUUCCCGUACGUGGAAAAUUCUUCAACAGUGUCGAAGAAAGAGUUAAGAAUCCUGAAAGGGUAAGAAAGAAAGACAUAGAGAAAGAGAGAGAGAGAGAGAGAAAGAGUUGGUAUCAAGAGGCGAUUGCAAAAAACAAGAGUAGAAGUUAGCAGGAGUAGCUGGAGUAACAGCAGCCAGCACCAACAGCAGCCAGCAUAUACGUAUUAGAGCUUGCUGUCAUAACGGAAGGACGAUUGGUCAGAUGUCACGACCUUCUCAUUAACCUCGAGAAGAAGAAGAAAAAGAAAAAGAAGAUGGAGAAGAAGGAGAAAGAGAAGGAGAAGGAGAAGAAGAAGAAGAAGAAGAAGAAGAAGAAGAAGAAGAAGAAGUAGGAAGAAAGGAAGGAAGGAAGAAUAGAGGAAGGGGAUGGGAAGGGAAUGGGAAGAAAAAAACAAGAAGGGCGAAGGAGUCUGAGAGAAUCCCGAAUGGUUCUAUGUUGGCUUGACCACAAAACUUUAUCCUUCUCUUUCUUUCUUAAGAGUGCUCAAGAAAGCGAAACAAGUUCGAGGUUUAAAUUUGGAGCUCCCACCCCCGUUAAAGGAACCUUUUUCUCUUUUGGAUCCCAGGAUGGCACCUGCACCAAGUUGUUAACACCCACACUGAUCUUCUCGUAGAUUUGACAGGAAGGAAACAUUAUCCUCGAAUCCUAAAGAUCUUGCUUCCGCUUAUAACACGCCUAAAUUCACCCUCCUACUCGUUCUAUAGUAUCUAUAAUUACUUGCCACUUUACUUUCAAUAUCAACGAAAGAACUCCCACGGUUUUUGUAAAAAAAAGAAAAAAAAAAAAUAAAAAGAUAAAAAAAAAUAUGAAAAAAAAAUAUGAAAAAAAAAAGGAAAAUGAAAAAAUUUUCGGAACAAAAAUCCGUCCUACUGUAUAUCAUCAAAUUCUCAUUUUUAUUAACAUGACACAAAUGCUUCCCUUAAAAGGUAACAGCCCUCUUGUUCGUUAGGGGAGGUCGUAUGGUUUACAUCUGGAAUAUUAGGGAAAUCGUUUGUAUUCCAUUCAUACCAGAAAGCAUAACUCGUUUUUAUAGAGUGUAUGAUAAAAAAAAAAAAAAA